AUUGAACGCUGGCGGCAGGCCUAACACAUGCAAGUCGAACGAAGUCUUCGGACUUAGUGGCGGACGGGUGAGUAACACGUGGGAACGUGCCCUUUGGUACGGAAUAACUCGGGGAAACUUGAGCUAAUACCGUAUGUGCCCUUCGGGGGAAAGAUUUAUCGCCAUUGGAGCGGCCCGCGUCUGAUUAGCUAGUUGGUGAGGUAAAGGCUCACCAAGGCUACGAUCAGUAGCUGGUCUGAGAGGAUGACCAGCCACAUUGGGACUGAGACACGGCCCAAACUCCUACGGGAGGCAGCAGUGGGGAAUCUUGCGCAAUGGGCGAAAGCCUGACGCAGCCAUGCCGCGUGGAUGAUGAAGGUCUUAGGAUUGUAAAAUCCUUUCACCGGUGAAGAUAAUGACUGUAGCCGGAGAAGAAGCCCCGGCUAACUUCGUGCCAGCCGCCGCAGUAAGAC
rnacentral:rRNA from 1 species